GACGUAGGGGGCGAGCGUUGUCCGGAUUUAUUGGGCGUAAAGCGUGCGUAGGCGGCUGCGCAAGUCGGGUGUGAAACCCCGGGGCUCAACCCCGGAACUGCAUCCGAUACUGCGUGGCUAGAGGUAGGUAGGGGAGAUCGGAAUUCCUGGUGUAGCGGUGAAAUGCGUAGAUAUCAUGAGGAAGACCAGUGGCGAAGGCGGAUCUCUGGACAGUUCCUGACACUGAGGCACGAAGGCUAGGGGAGCAAACGGG
rnacentral:rRNA from 1 species